rnacentral:tRNA from 1 species
GUCUGUAUAGAUUAUUUUAUAAAUCGUGAUGCUGUUAACUUCAAGAAGGGAUAAGUCUCUGCAGUCG